AUUGAACGCUGGCGGCAUGCCUUACACAUGCAAGUCGAACGGCAGCACGGGUGCUUGCACCUGGUGGCGAGUGGCGAACGGGUGAGUAAUACAUCGGAACAUGUCCUGUAGUGGGGGAUAGCCCGGCGAAAGCCGGAUUAAUACCGCAUACGAUCUACGGAUGAAAGCGGGGGACCUUCGGCCCUCGCGCUCUAGGGUUUGCCGAUGGCUGAUUAGCUAUUUGGUGGGGUAAAGGCCUACCAAGGCGACGAUCAGUAGCUGGUCUGAGAGGACGACCAGCCACACUGGGACUGAGACACGGCCCAGACUCCUACGGGAGGCAGCAGUGGGGAAUUUUGGACAAUGGGCGAAAGCAUGAUCCAGCAAUGCCGCGUGUGUGAAGAAGGCCUUCGGGUUGUAAAGCACUUUUGUCCGGAAAGAAAUCCUUGGCCCUAAUACGGUCGGGGGAUGACGGUACCGGAAGAAUAAGCACCGGCUAACUACGUG
rnacentral:rRNA from 1 species